rnacentral:rRNA from 1 species
UACAGAGGGUGCGAGCGUUGUCCGGAAUCACUGGGCGUAAAGGGCGCGUAGGUGGCGCCGCAAGUCCAUGGUGAAAAGCUCGAUGCUCAACAGUCGAGUCGGCCACGGAGACUGCGGGCUCGAGCGACUGUAGGGCAGAUGGAAUUCCGGGUGUAGCGGUGGAAUGCGUAGAGAUCCGGAAGAACACCGGUGGCGAAAGGCGGUCUGCUGGGCAGUUGCUGACACUGAGGCGCGGACAGCGUGGGGAGCAAACAGG